ACAGUCAUUGUUUCCAGACCAGCCGAGCCAACUGGGGAGGAGAGGCCAAGCCCAGGGAGAGCAGUAAGAGGCCCAGCUUGCAACACAGGCCCCCGGCGGCUGGAGUCGGCUCAUGGGUUGCUGGGGGGCAGCUGGUGCCAGCCCUGCUAGACAUGUCCAGGGUCGGGGCAGAGGCCAGGGUGGCUCUCAUCCACAACGAGGCUCCAGGAAGAGGCUCCAGAGGGCCCAGGUCCCUGGAGGAAGACAGAGGGUGGAUUAUCCAGUGAGUCCUCAGAUUGCUCCAGGGAGACUCUACCCCUAGGCCCUCAUCCUACCUAGGACUGAGGCAGCCAUCUGGGUCUCUGCUUCCCUAACCACUUCCUCCUCCACCCGACCAUCACCUAGUCUCAAGGACUUGGGCAGCUUCUGGAAGUGGCUGAGACUGGAAGAAUGUUGUCACACCUACCAGAUAUCCCUACGUGUAUCUCUACCACCCCCACUACAUAUUCUGAAGAACCAAGGUGCAACAGGAACCUGGAGCCUCAAGAGCCGAGGUGCUCAGGAGGGGCAGCAUGACUCCAGGGCUCGGAAGGAGCCCCUCAGGGGAACCUCAAGAGUGCUGCCUGAGUAACUCUCAUUACACAAAGACACAACUGCAAGAGGAUCCCCAGGCAUUCCCAUGAGAACACAGAUUCUGACAACCCCUCCAUCCCCCACCUUGGUCUCCACCCCAGGACUCACAGCAUGGCAAAAAUCCAAGGGAAGAUUCUUGGAAUUGCAUUAUGGUUACAUGAUGGCUGCUGGAGACCCAGCUCUCAUGUCUGUGUUCCAGGCAGCAGAAAGGAAGAAGAGCCUUUCAGCUGACUCAGUCCCAUGUAAAGAGUUUCUUUGGUCCUGAACUCCUGGCCUCAAGUGAUCCUCCCACUUCGACCUCCCAAAGUGCUGGGAUUACAGGCAUAAGCCACCAUGCCUAAGAGCUUCUUUGGAAGCCCAAACCAAAAACUUCAGCUUAUACUUCUGCAAGAGAGGCUGGGAAAUAUGUUUAUCAAAGCCCACUACCACCCUCGAUAACAUGGGAUUCCACUGGCAAGAAAGGAGAGAACUAUUGGGUACUCAACCAACUCUCUCGACCUUACCCUCCAUGUUCUCUCCUGGCUGGGCCACAACUCUCAUCCACUGGAAGACAGACCAAGGGGAAAUCUCUGGCAGCUGUGAACUGGCAGGCUGUGUGUGUGUGCAUGUGUGUGUGUGCAUGUGUGCAUGCAUGUGUAUGUGUGUAUGUGUGUGUGCAUGUGUGUGUGGCUUCACUGGGGCCUGACCCACAAAUACCAUGAUGUCUCUUUGCUUUUAUGUAAUGAGUUCUCCGUUGGCUUCUGCCUGGUCCAAGACUGAUUUGCCUCAGCCUAACAUUGUGUAGUGAAGGCCUUUCCCAGGGCCAGAAAGGACUGGCAGGGCUGGAGAGAAAGCAGCUGGUGGAGCUGUGUGGUGGGCUGGCAGCUCCUUUCUCUUCACCUUGUUUGGGUGUUAUCAGCUCCUCUUUCUCCAACCUGGGGUGCUCCUGCCUCGAUAUCAUCAAUCACUGAUGGAAACUCGCAGGGAAAAGAUUUGUUUGUGUGUUCCUUGAGGACAGAACAAUGUUGUAGUAUUUGAUGGGUCUUAAUAUACGGUGAGCUUCAAAGGUAAGUAGUUGCCUAUUCUAGUCAGGUUGAGGCGAUACCGAAUGACUCACAUGAAACAUGGAAUUGACUUCAUUGAUACCAGCAAGGAGGUGCUCACAGUGAAGUCAGCCCUCCCUCACCACAGGGGCACAUGCCACCCCCAUUUUGUAGCCAAAAAACCUGAAGUUAGGUCGCCUCCCUGAGUCACCCAAGCACUGGCCUGAGUGCUGCACAGUGGGGUGACCGGGCUUCCCUACAUCAAAGAACUACCCUCAGCCCAGGGGCCUGGCUGUCUAGGAAGGGUUCAGAAGGCACACCCAAGACUCAGGCCCCUGCCUCAACUCCACAACACUGAGGGAGGUGAGUAGACUGGGUGGGAGGGGCAGCUCUGCAGCUGGCCAGAGGCUGCGGGGACACAAGGGGUACUCAGCAGACCUGGGCGUCUCUCCACAAGGCUCAGGUACCAGAUCUGAAAUAACAUGAAACACAGUAGGGGGUUCAUCAACGUCAUCAUCAUUAUUCACUACGUUUGCUUCAGACCUCAACAUCACCCACAGAUGAUUAUGGGUUUAGAAAUGGAAUGAGGUUGAACUUAGGGGGUGACCACCUGACUUCUGUUUUAUCUUUGUCUUUUAUUCAUGCUUCUUUUUACUGAGUGGUCAUCCGCAAACAAGCCUGCAACAUGACAUGUCUUGGACUCAGCUCAUUUGAUGCACCAACAAGACAAACAGCAGACAACGGCAGCACCACAGAGCUGGAAACAAAAUGAAUAAAUACUUUUUCACAAUGAAA
rnacentral:lncRNA from 1 species